rnacentral:misc_RNA from 1 species
CUAUCACCAAAUAGAUAGUAUCCGAUCGUAGAGCAGUCCUCACUCUCGUUAACCAAGUAGCACCACGGUUUCGGAGUAGAUGUUCGCGUAAAAGACAAGUAUCCUUCCGUUAAUUUAUAGUGUAUCCCUUUAAGUAGAUUUCUUUCCAAUAAAACAAUGUCAGAUAAUAUCCAAGAUGUUAUAUCGCAUCUGCAACGGUUCUCGUGGCCUGACUAUCUCGUAUUCGUAUCUAUGCUUCUACUAUGCAUUUUUAUCGGUAUCUAUUUCGGAUUUAUGCAAAAAACCAUUUCCGAAUCGGAUUACUUAAUGGGCGGUCGAAAUAUGAUGGUGUUUCCGAUCGCGUUGUCCCUGGUGGCUAGUUUCAUAUCCGGAAUAACGCUGCUUGGAUUACCCACUGAAGUUUACUCGUAUGGAAUACAAUAUGUUUAUGUUUCGGGUGGUGUUAUCCUGAUGGGAUUUGUGAUGGGUUUGGUCUACCUCCCAGUCUUCCAUGAUCUGUGUAUUACUUCGACGUAUGAGUAUUUAGAAAAUAGGUUUGAUCGAAGGUUACGUAUGUUUGGUUCAAUCAUGUUCGUUAUAAUGAAUGUAGGAUAUCUGCCAAUUGUUAUCUAUGUACCGGCAUUAGCUUUUAAUCAAGUUACUGGAAUGAACAUUCAUGUGAUCACUCCAAUCGUAUGCAUAGUUUGUGUAUUUUAUACAUGCGUGGGUGGCUUAAAAGCCGUCGUAUGGACCGAUGUCGUACAAACGUUUUCCAUGUUCGGAGCCUUAGUGCUGGUUGCAAUUAAGGGAAGCAUCAAUUUGGGUGGCCCAAGAGUAGUCUUCGAAGAUGCUUGGAAUACCGACCGUAUAGAAGGACCAGAGUUUGAUAUAAAUCCUACAAUUCGACAUACGAUCUGGUCCCAAGUAAUUGGCGGUUUCUUUUAUUGGCUACAAACAAAUGCUGUGAGUCAAAAUAUGAUUCAGCGGUAUUUAGCGCUGCCUACACUCAGGGCUGGGAGACAAGCUCUAUGGAUAUUUGUUUUGGGUGUUAUCGUUCUUAUGUUUCUUUGCAGUUACAAUGGAUUGCUUAUUUAUGCUACUUAUAAGCAUUGCGAUCCACUAACCACAAAGCUUGCCAAGGCACGGGAUCAAUUGCUACCUCUUUUCGUAAUGGAUAUUCUUAAAGACUUACCUGGCCUCUCCGGGCUAUUCAUCGCGGGAGUCUUCAGUGCAGCAUUAAGUUCGCUAUCGACAUGUCUUAACUCAAUGUCAGCCGUCGUUCUGGAAGAUUUCUUCAAACCAUUCACUAAAAAACCUCUGAGCACACGAGCCGUCGAUUGGAUCAUGAGAACCGUCGUAGUCGGUGUAGGUGUACUAUGCGUGGCACUCGUUUAUGUUGUCGAAAAAAUGGGGACCGUACUUCAGUUAACGAUGAGUCUGGAAGCAAUAACAAAUGGACCACUUCUAGGGAUUUUCUCAAUAGGUAUUCUCUUACCUUGGAUCAAUGGCCGCUUUGUGUGGAGGCGUGGUCGGAGUUUUCGUCAUGUCUUGGAUCAGUUUGCAUGCGCAGUGGGCAAUCGCAUCGGGCUCGUUGAAAUUCGAACAUAAACUGACAUCUAUUGACCAAUGUGAUUAUCAGUUUGAGAAUCCUUUAAUUGCUGCAAGUAAUACUACAUCGAGUGAGACGCACGAAAGUGCCUUUGGAUUGUAUCGAAUAUCGUACAUGUGGUACACAUUCGUUGGGGCAUUUGUGACAGUGGCCGUGGCUUCCCUAUGUACAUGGAUAUGGGGUGGAAAUGACCCCGCAAGUGUAGAUCCCAAACUUUUAACGCC